AAACAACUAUUUUAUUCUUGGUGGUAGAAUCAGGGAGGAGCCAAGAUGGCCGAAUAGGAACAGUGCUGUCUACAGCUCCCAGCGUGAGUGACGCAGAAGACAGGUGAUUUCUGCAUUUCCAUCUGAGUCAGAGUGACUCUACACACUUCCUGCUUCCACGUUUAGCAUCCCCAAGUGAAGAGAUAUGAAGAGUGUUCAAAAGAUGCUACAAAAUGUUUAGUUUUCAACUCUCCAGAGGAAGCUGACAUGGCAACACUCUGUUAUUUGAAGAUUUGAGUUUUCCUACUACAAGGAAGAAGUUGUAACUUCUGACUU
rnacentral:lncRNA from 10 species